GUCCCUUCGGGGACCUCCGAUAAAAUUGGAACGAUACGAAGAACAUUAGCAUGGCCCUGCGCAAGGAUGACACGCGCAAAUCGAGAAAUGGUUCAAAUUUUA
rfam:Nicotiana attenuata strain TT chromosome 10, whole genome shotgun sequence.